GUGCUCUCGGUGAUGGGUGAGAUGACAUGUUUGAGCCGAAGAAGCAUUGUGAAGAGCAGGAUGAGAAGAAUGGCCAGGAGGCUCAGAAAUAAUCCUACAUACAUGUACAGGUUUGUGGUAUGAAGAUAUACAUUUGAUUAAACAUUUAUAGAUCAAAAGAACUUGGAGGGUAUACCUAUUCUGAGGAAAUAAAUGCAUCCUUCAUAAUGAGGUGUUGCUGGGUAAAGAUAAGAGUGAACAAUGGACACAAAGGUGACGAACUAUGAAAAGACAGAAGAGAGGAAAUUAAGAAAGGGAAAGAACACAGAAAAAUUGCCAAGGUGAGUAUAGGUAAGGAAGGAUGUGGGGGAGAAGAGGUGUGAAAAAAUGAGCUGCUGAGACAAAGAGAAAGAAGAGAAAUGGGAAAAUACUGGGAAAGAAGAGAGGAGGAAAGG